GUUUUUAUUUUUUGUUUGGGUAAACAUUUGGAAACAACCAGACGGCAAGUGGGGGGUGGGGACCAUUCCUUUGAUUCACUCUAUGUACACAUUCACAUAUGUAAAUGUAAUCAAAUUGUAUUUACACUUUUUUAUGCCCACUACUGUGAUGUGUAACAAUAAUUAAAUAAAUGAAAAGUGGAUCUCCCUGUAGCAUAGGUAGGUAUCCUUUAUUCGCAAGAUUUACAGCCAUCGUUCGUUUGGCUAAAUGCUGUCUUUGCGUUUUUCGAUUAGUUUUUUGACUUUCAUUGGGAAGAGCUCAAAGAGAGUGGAUAGACCUCAAACCCCUUAGCCCGUGACCAGCUUCAGCUUCAGCUCCAUUCAUGGAAAAUGCAGGCACAAGCGUUUUCCCCUCAAGCAGUUAACAAGAGCAACAAAUUGAAAGGUUUUUGCCUCAGCUACUGGCUGACCAAAAGGACAACCGAUUUGAUGCCUGCGAUGCGAGGAAAGCAAGCGAGAGCGAACCAAGAGUCCUUCAAUUUCUGUGUAAAUAUCCGUUUGUGUUCAAUCUGUUUAAAUUGAUCUUAAAGUGGGUUUUAAACAGUGCCAACAUUGAACAAAUAUAUGGAGAGCGACAAUAAAUUGAAUUUGAAUUUGAAUUUCUUAUACGUUUCCGAUUGAGUUCACUGAACUCAGUCAAGACUCAAAUUACUUUGCUUGGCAAAUGAGAGAAUACUUUUUUGUUUUGACUCUGCUCUGAUGGGUUCUACUAUCUCUCACGCUGUCUGAUUAAGUUCCACUAUCGGCUGGAACCCUCUGUGUUCCAUAUCUUAUCUGCCAUGCACAUACACAUAUAAAAUGACCAACUUCAAUUCAUUAAACAUUAAAAUUGUGUGCCCA
rnacentral:lncRNA from 1 species